rnacentral:rRNA from 1 species
UACGUAGGUGGCAAGCGUUGUCCGGAUUUACUGGGCGUAAAGAGCGCGCAGGCGGUCGUACAAGUCGCGUGUGAAAGCCCCCGGCUCAACUGGGGAGGGUCACGCGAUACUGUUCGACUCGAAGGCAGGAGAGGGAAGCGGAAUUCCCGGUGUAGUGGUGAAAUGCGUAGAUAUCGGGAGGAACACCAGUGGCGAAGGCGAGUCUCUGGACAUUUCCUGACGCUGAGGCACGAAAGCCAGGGGAGCAAACGGG